UGCUGAGUCCCGCACCUCAUUUUUUAUGGGAACUGUAUUAGGGGCAGAUAGCGAGUGUUUCACCCCAGCGUCGGCUGCGCUGCACGGCGCAUCAUUCACACUUGACGGGCGAUUCAGAGGAGCGUCUCCCACCUGGCGGCCAUCCCACCAUGGAUGCCCUUAAAUCGGCCGGAAGAGCGAUCAUCAAGAGCCCCGGGGUGCCGAGGCACACAUGGGGAACCUCCAAGCACGAAAAGCUUGCGGAGAACUGGACAGACACCAAAGAGACCCUCCUGGAAGGCAUGGUGUUCAACGUCAAGUACCUGGGCAUGACACUGGUGGGGCAGCCGAAGGGAGAAGACAUGGCGUCGGCCGCCAUCAGAAGGAUAGUUACCAUGGCUAGAGCCAGCGCAAAGAAGUUCAGGAAAGUGACUCUGACAAUCUCUCCGAAAGGAAUCAUCAUCACAGACUCGGAGACGAACAACCUUAUUGAGAACGUCUCCAUAUACAGGAUCUCCUACUGCACUGCAGAUAAAUCUCAGGACAAAGUGUUCGCCUACGUUUCCCAGAGUCAGUUCAGUGAGACCCUGGAGUGCCACGCCUACCUGUGCCCCAAGAAGAAGAUCGCUCAAGCCGUCACACUCACGGUGGCACAGGCCUUCAAGGUGGCCCUGGACCUUUGGGAGGUCGCACAGGAAGACAAAAUGAAGAAGGGCCGUCCGUGCUGCUCCUGCACAGUAAAGAACUCGCAUUCCGACCCAGGUAAUUUGGAGAAACACAAAGCUCUGAGCAAGGAGGAAGCCCCAAGGCGGCCAUUUUCCUCCUUCCAUUCACCUUCACGACACAGCAAUCCCCUAAAGAGGCGGCCGAUCAAGCACAACUCCUGGGAUGCGGAGGAUGGUUUUGAUGACGCGUUUUCAAGACCUUCAGCAGUGACAAUAGCAAACAGUCAUGUGACAUGGAGACGGGAAGACAAAACAGGGCCUCUAUUAGGAGAAGGAAGCUGAGAAGGGUCUAAAAAAAAUGGCAAGGAGGAGGGACAACAACGGCAGCCAUCUUGGUGUCAGCAAAGCGGGAAGGAGGUGCCUGAAAAGCAUAAUGACAUCAGGUCAUAGUGAAGUUUAUUUUCAUUAUUACAAUUAAUACUAAACUUUACUACUGACUAAUACUCCUAAUUACUACUAAAGUCAGUGGUAUAAGGCUUGAGAACAAGUGACUGUGGAACGGUGGAUCUGUCAUGUAACUUCUCCAAACCAUAUACGUGCCACGUGCAUGGUGAACUACGUCAUGUGAGCUCUGUUGGCUUCCAUUGAUUGAUUCGUUAAUGUCUGUCACGUAUGUCAAGAUUUGGUGUGUUUGUGAGUUUAAAUAGCUGUUACAGGCUUGUCAGACUGAAUGCAUAGCAAGCAUUUCUCGUUAAUUAGCUUUCUGGAGCCUACAGUGUCCCGGCAAUAACGAAUGAACAACCUUUUGGUCUUCAGAGAGCUCCUGAAGAAAAUUGUUCUGGGUGUCCAGAACUGCUCCGUUCGCUUCACUCCCAGUUGACUCAGAAUUGCAUCUGCAGAAAUUCGGCAUAUGGAAAUGUGGCCUUCAGCUGUGUUUGGGGGCUAGAGUCAUGACCAACCUGUCCCCUAAUGUCUUUCAGGGGGGGACUACGGGGCAUGUAACAAUGGGACCAUUUGGGCUACAAAACCCACAGCGCCAGCAACCCACAGCAAUGCCAAUAAUUAUUUUUACUAAAGUUCCUAUUUCUUACUCUGCUGUUUCCCAUUGGGUCGAACAAGGCAGUGAUUGACAGCACAGUUUAUCCCAACUACUGCAGAGGUCAAAGCAUCGUAUGUCAGAGAUAUCCUUCCAGUGCUCAUUGGAUCAUGAAAAGCAUUUAAAAAAUCUUGUGCAUUUUUUGCUGACUUUUUGAGAAAUUAUAUGGCAAAGGGGUCACUCAGACUUCACUUUCAAACCUACGUUGGUUAAUAUCAAUGUUUAUUGAUAACAUAAGCGGAUGGUCGCUCAUCCAUUUUCAUAGCUUUUUAAUCGGCAUACAGUCCCGUGAACCAAAACGUUUUCCCAGGACGCAUAGGGCACCAAGCAGGGGGCACCCAAGACGGCUUUAUUAUGGUCAACAGGAAGUGUAGACCUCCGAAACAAGUCAGCAAAAACAUAACUAUCAGUAUCAUUUUAGUCUCUUAGAACCAAGACCAACGAUUCAGUUUUCCAUUUAAAAAUCUGCAUUUCCAAUUGCAUUUUCUUGCACUUACACCAACUGAUCGGUUGUUACUUUGCCAUUUAGAGACAGAUUUAUCCACCCUGUUUAAUUUAUAUUCAAAAACAUUGGACAUUCUGGACUUGAUCUGAGAAAUAAUAGGGACAGUUUUAAUGCAGUUUUUGACCAUUUGGGAUAAAACUUAUUACAUCAUAUCAUUCACAGAUUAAGGUCAUAUUUCAGUGAAAGAUGAUUUUGAAAUCAAGGUGUUCACUGGUAAACAUAGUAAGGGUUCCCGUGUUGUGGUUUCAGGCUUUUUUGUGGGGUGUGUCAGCUAGUGCAUGGCAUGUUAACAUGGGAAUGUUUAUAUUACAUACAGUAAUUUAUUUUUCUUCAUGGGGAGCUUCCGGGAAUGCUGAUCUGUGCCCUUUGGGGGUGGAUCCCAUCCUGUUUUUCAUUAUACCGUUUAAUUAGCUAAUGUGUAAUUCUGUCCUCAGCUCCACCAUUAUUUAAUGGUUAAUUGGCAACAGAGAUGUAUUUGAGUGCAGGGCUGGGCUUUCAGUGUUUAUGUUCCCAAUAUUUUUCUGAAUUGGCAGUUUUUUUAUCAUUUAUUCCCAGAUUUCUUAUGUGCCCAGAACUGCUCCUCUAAGAGUCUAACAAACAUUAAACUGCAUUGAUUAGAAAUUAAAUGUUCACAUAAUACUGUGUAAGGUCCAGUAUGCAGAACCGUCCAUCUUAUUAGUUGACAUGAAUUACAGUGAGCAACGUUGUACUUUUCUAUGUGAAAUUAAUCUGAAAGAAUACAGCUGGGUGCAUUGAUUAUUGCGCACAGUGGACUUUGCCGAGUUAACUGCCCUUUACUGCAGAAAGCUGCGCCGACGCACUUGUGACAAUGCUGUCAGUGUGGCGUCAGUGAAAACGCGGAAAAAAUAAAUGAAUGGAAAAAAAAAACAUUCGGUAAAUAUAGCUGUAUAAGUUUGUUUUGCCAGCACUUUUGCAAAAAUCAAUUUGAUUCACAAAGAGAUCCGACUGCUGCUGGAAGUCGGACAAAGUGCCUGUGGUUUUUACCCCUUCUGUGUGCAGUAAUAACCCAAGCAGGUUUGUUUAAUUUAUUUAUUUAUCUGUCAAUCCGGCAUGCUGACUCUGUGUCUGGAGUGAAGGAUGCGGUGACUUUAUAUUGCACCGGUGGUGCAAAAUAAAAUGACUCUCCAUUGCAACUAAUCUCUGAAAACACCAUUUAAGCAGUAGACUUAUUACUGAGAUCGGCUUUAAGCUGUUCCUUUAAACUGUAGGGUUUUAUUCAACUGUAAAUAGAUGCUAUUGGAAUGACAACAAUGUAUACAAAUGGCCCCAUCAACCAUUCCCCCCUUCUCCUCCCUUACCCCCGACCACAAUAAUUUCUAGCCCACACUCUCCCAGCCUCUCAAAAAAUAUUCAUUAAAAGCCUAAAUUGGUGUCUCAGUGUUAUCAGGUUCACCAGAUCUGCGUCUGACUGUAUGUAUUUUUUGAUUUACCACAUUAGUAAGUUCAAGUGUCUUCUGCAGUCAGCCCUCCCUUUGCUUUUUGGCAUCAUCUGAUUCAAAUGAAAUUAGACUUUCCAGACUUUCUUCUGUACAAUGUUUCUUUGAAUUUUGAAAAAGAUCCGGCUAAUACUUUUUGAGUUAUGAAGCUACCAGCAUCAAGACUCUGUACUGUAGCUGCCCUUCUCUCUCAUACCACUGUUUGGCACUGGUUUAAUUUUGGGGCAAUGAUUCUCAUAAUUUGAUCAGGUCCAAAUCUUCACCCAUACAAUGUGCCUGUAAAGUUUUUUUUUUUAAUCCAUCAAAUACUUUUGAGUUCUCAUGCUAAAAAGAUGUUUGUGGUGGACCGGUCCCAAAAUCUUAUCCAUUCCUCAUUUAAGGAAUAUAAAAAGUGUUAUUGCUUCAAAUGUUAGACUUUUUGUUUGCAAUGUAUUAAUAUUAGGCACGGAAUAUCUUGUUUACUCUAUUAUCAGAUCAGCAAGCCAUUAUCCUGGGUGAUUUCUGUUUUUCUAAUUAAUUUUAUAUAUAAACUUCAGGUAAAUUCAUACACAUUAAUGUUCUAACAGUUGUGCAAAGACAAACCGUUAGUUGCUUUAUGCCCUUGAAAAUCUGUACAGUAUUUCCUAUGAAAUCCAAAGAUUCAGAUAAAUAGACUUUCUAUUACAAAUUGGGUGAUGGACCUUUUAAUCUACUUGGAUCCUUAUAUGAACUUGUAGGUCCUGAGACAGAAUGAGGUCAAGUUUUCAGACCCUCUGGGUAGUUUAUCCAGUAUAAAAUCCUUUUUCACUGCUUCAGAAAGUGGAUGCUUAAUGUAGUUUAGUUACAGACAGACAGAUAGGCGAUUGUGUUUCGCGUAAAGAACAUGAAUUAACAAUGCUUUGUUCUUUAUUACAAUGGACGCCACAAACCAGGAGGCAUCAAACAUGUUUAUUGAGCAGAAAAACACAGUUCAUUUUGAUGGAAAUAGCAUUUCCUUGACAAAUGCUAAAUCCUUUGAAGUGGCCUGAUCAGAUUGUCCUUUUUGCGUUUUCUUUGCCGAAAUAUUGUAUCUUGCCUGAGACGUCAUUGCAUAAUGAAUCGCAUUUUACAUUAAUCUCUCUUUUGGAUCAAUGAAAAUUUUUUAUGGAUUCUAAGCUAAUAUUAAUUCUCAAAAACGGUCCAGCAUGAGAAGCUGGUUGUUCUGCCCCUAUGAUGAAAUCAUCUUCUUUUCUUCUUCUUCGUCUUCAUGACAUGCAGCAAUAUGGAUGUGGAAAACACAGACACAAUCUAGCAAUCAGAUUUUUCACAUCGGCCAUGUUUGCGUUGGUCAGGUUGGCAGAGUCCGGAUGCAGGUAACUGUCUGAAGAUGCAGCUGUGAAGUCAGGCAGGGGUGACCUUCAGGAUCUAAUGAUUAAUCACUGAGGACAUGUGGGAUAAUAAAACACACAGACCUUCUACACACAGCCUUUUCAGACUGAUAGCUAUACACUAUAUUGUUCUUUUCCCAAUAUUGAAUAAUCAAGGUUUUGCUUUUUUUCUGCUGGCAACCUUUCAUAGAAUAAAUAAUCUUUUUUUUUCCUGUACUUUUUUCGUACACAGAUUAAAGAUGGACACUUGUUGAUAUAUAUUUAACUAGAAUUAAUUGUGAACAAGAGCGGUGUUUAGAUGAUGUUUCUUUUUGCCUAUUUUGUUCCUUCAGUUUUGUUUAAUAUGUGACCAAAGCUAUGUGGUUAUUUGCCGUCUUGUAAGUCAAAGUCAUGGGCUGGGAAAACUUUUACACAAGCCCCCCCCCCGCCAGGCUUUAAGUGGUUUGGGGGGCCUUUUAGCCACGUUAGCCUAGGGUCCCCAGAGAAGAUAAUCUUGCUGAUAUUUAAAUUAUACUCAUUUGCAUCCCUAUGAGAACUGAUCAUUUUGUAAUCUAGGUCUCAGAUCCCAGGUAUAGUCUUUUUUUUAGAUUUUUUUUGCAAUAUAGUUGUUAUGGGGCUCCCUUGGCAAGGAAACAUGCUCCAUUCCUAUGAAAUCGAUUCCCGUAGCACAGAUGAAAUGUGAGCAGUCAUUUCUGUGCAGUGAACUCAGGUAUGACUACGACAAAAUUUUGAUUUAUUUGAUCAAUUUUAAGAUAAUGACUAAGUCACCGAAUGUGGGCAUUUUUAAGGGACUAUGGUUUAUUUUAUAUGGUCUGCACAAGUUAAUUUAUUCAUUUACGGCUUUUUCUUAAACAUUUAAGAUAAAUGCAUCUAUUUCAAUGCUUUGAGACUUUUUCAUGAUAAUGUCACUAAGGUGACAAUGGUCAAUGCAAAUUAUUUGGACACUUUUAGCCUGCAUGGCAGCUAAAUCUGAGUGGUUUAGUUUUCUGUAAGGGUUAAGUUAACUCCGAGUUAAGAGCUAAGUGGGAAGAUUAAUUUUUGUUUCCACAUACUCGAUGGCAGUUAUAGCAUUAGUUGAAUUCCGGUUUAAUAUUUCUUAAUUUGAGAAUAAAAAACUUAGGAAAAAUCUAAAUGUUCAUGUAUUUUCAGGCAAAUGAGCCACAUAUUGUAAAUCAUUAAAACUAUAUUUGCAAUUAAAAGGCAAGAAGGACGACCAAGGGUGAUUAAGAUUGCUUGCUUCUGAAAUAAAUCUAAAGUAAUGUCAUUUAAGAACAACUGUUCUUGACAGCUAGACAUAAAUUACAGUUAAUCUUAUAACUGACAUGAAUGCAGCCCGUUUAAUAAUAAGAUGCCACAUUUUCAGAAGAUUAAAUGUUAAGCUUUUGAUGGUAGGACAAAAUCUAUUUUUAAUCAAUGUUAUAAUGCAUAUGUACUUUAUCAGCAACAUAUAACUGCAAGUCACUGUCAGUUUCUCUCCCAAAGGACUGGGCUUUAUAGCCCAGAUUUUGACAACUGCAAAUCCUAAAGUUGGAAUAUUUCUCUCUAGGUUUUGCGCAGUGAUGCACAUAUAUAAUUCUUUACUUGUCACCAUCGGUCAAGUCAAAGAUACAGGCCCUUCCGGUAAAGUUUCCCAAAUUAAUUCAACAUUUGAAUGAAAAGGGCACUUUUCUAAGCCCACUGUCACUCAUUAAGUCUUUGAAUUCAAAAAUAUUCUCUUGUGUGUUUCAGCUGUUUGUGGCAUUAUUUUAUGAAAACUGAGUGCAGGAAAUCAGGAACAAACAGUGAUCAAUCAAUGCAGUUAUUAGUAGUUAGUUAAGACUACCUAGGCUGUACACAAAUCGGUUAAUAUUUUGAAUUCUGCCGUUUGUGAAUUUCACUGUAACACUGAGAAAAUGGGAAAUUUCCCAGAGAUUGCCAAAGUCCUUCAAGCCACAAGGGGGCAUGCUUAUGAAGAUGCAACUUUAUUAUUCAUCUAUAUAACAAUUAGGGCCUGGUGUGUACGAAACCAUGCAGGCCAAAGUUAUUUUGCUAUCUUUUUCAAUGAUCAGUAUUUUUUUUUUUUAUGUAAUUUGCUUGAAAGGAAAAUGAAGACCAGCCUCAAUCUGUUCCAUUUAUCAGCAUUUAACUUAAUUUAAAGUAAGCAACAGGUUUUAUGUCUCCUGACUCUUGAAAAUCAGCACCAGGGAUAUUAAAGUUUGUGUUUUAGCUGACGGGGGCACCUGGUGGUUUGAAUCAAUCCUGUCUGCCUUUGUGGUGUCAUUGCUUUAGGAUGAAUUGAUGGUCUUGUUUGGAAGUAGGUUGUGGGGGAGGGGGAGGGGGGGGGAGUUAUUGCAAUACCCAGCACUGGAAAAUGUCAGUGCUCUGGAUUUCCAGGCACACGCCCUGCGAGAAAUGCUGUCCUGUACGCUUCUUUUUAAAUGCCCAACCUGUCUGAGAGCCCUCAAUGGUGAAUGUCAACCCUUUAUGUAUAAUUAGGGGUGUCCAUUGUUACCUGGUAACAGAAAAUGCAGGGAAUUUACAACACACAGAGUUAGACCUGUAUUGUUUACUCUUACUAUGCCACGAGUGCCUAGGAAGAGGUCCUGACCCCAGGUGCAGCAAACAACACCUUCUCAGCAAUAAUCACGGUGUUUCCAUAACGUUCCAUCCAUCUUACUACAUGGCUUCCAUAGAAAUACUGUAUCUUGAAUAAACGGCCUUCCGCUGGGUAGGCCCAUCCGUGUUCCUGGAACCGUUUCAAGCUGACCGCGUUUCGGAUUGCAGAAUGACCACAGCGAAUAACCAUCUGUCCAUAUCACCUUGAAGAAGCUAAAUUUAAACUAAGCUAUUCUGAUUUAAUGGAGAAGUCAUGGAUGAUGUCAUUUAGCCUCAGUAUUUCUUCGAAAGGUUUUAUUGUACAUAUUGUGUUUUCCAAGCGUAUGAUUUUAUUUAAUUUUUUUUUGUGAAAAUGUUUGCUGUGCAAUAGUUUCUUCUUAUUAAUCACUUUCUCUGUUGUGUUUAUAUAUGUAGUUUGUAAAUUUGAGAUUUGCUUGUUAUUCACACAGCUAGAAAUUGUACAAGGUGCAUUGUCUUGCUAUAUUCGGGCUUUUGAGAAUCAAAUAUGUAUUUUUAAAGAUAAAAUGAGUUUUCAUUAAAGAGGUUGAGCAGUUUGAAAUGAUUUGCAUGGUUUUCCUGAGUUCUUUGAAGUAUUCUGCAGAAUAACAUGGUUUAGUGCUGGGAAUGUGUUUAAUUAUUUUAUCUUAUGGUAUAAUUCAAAUGUAUAAUUUUGACUGUGGAAGAAUCUACCAUAAUGGACCUGAGAAGCUCUAUCUUGUAAAAACACUGCCAAGGUUUAAAGUAUAUAUUUUCAACUCCUGUCUUGUUAUGUCGGGGUUAUAAUUGGGGUUUAUUUUUAGGGUUCAAUUAAAUGGGGUUUAUUUUUGAACAAUGAAUGGUUAAAAUGCAUAAGUGAUGUAUGUACAAGAAAAAUACAGGUUAUUAUUUGGUGGUGGUGGGGGUGGAGCCUAACCCAGCAUAAGACACAAGUUUGCACUGACGUGAAUAAGGGUGCAAAUAAAAAUAAAAGG